UCGGAUGUGGUGCAUGGCGCGCACCCGCUCGCAGUUUCUGCAUCUAUGAAAAGCUUCAAUGCGGGAAGCCCGGGUUCGACCUCCGGCGUCCGAA